GACGAACGCUGGCGGCGUGCUUAACACAUGCAAGUCGAGCGGUAAGGCUCCUUCGGGAGUACACGAGCGGCGAACGGGUGAGUAACACGUGAGUAAUCUGCCCUUCACUUCGGGAUAACCACCGGAAACGGUGGCCAAUACCGAAUACGACCAGUCUUCGCAUGAGGUGCUGGUGGAAAGUCUUUUCGGUGAAGGAUGUGCUCGCGGCCUAUCAGCUUGUUGGUGGGGUAAUGGCCUACCAAGGCUUCGACGGGUAGCCGGCCUGAGAGGGUGACCGGCCACACUGGGACUGAGACACGGCCCAGACUCCUACGGGAGGCAGCCGUGGGGAAUAUUGGACAAUGGGCGAAAGCCUGAUCCAGCAACGCCGCGUGAGGGAUGACGGCCUUCGGGUUGUAAACCUCUUUCAGUACCGACGAAGCGCCCUGUCGGGUGGUGACGGUAGGUACAGAAGAAGGACCGGCCAACUACGUG
rnacentral:rRNA from 1 species